rnacentral:rRNA from 1 species
AGCGAACGCUGGCGGCAUGCUUAACACAUGCAAGUCGCACGGGCAGCACUGUCAGUGGCGGACGGGUGAGUAGCGCGUAGAAACAUGUGCUGAGGUGGGGGACAACGACGGGAAAAUGAGGCUAAUACCGCAUAUAGGAUGAGGCCCAAAGCCGAGAGGCGCCUUUGGAGCGGCCUGCGUCCGGUUAGGUAGUUGGUGGGGUAAAGGCAUACCAAGCCUGCGAUCGGUAGCUGGUCUGAGACGACGACGAGCCACACUGGGACAGAGACACGGCCCAGACUCCUGCGGGAGGCAGCAGUGGGGAAUAUUGGACAAUGGGCGAGAGCGUGAUCCAGCAAUGCCGCGUGGGUGAAGAAGGUAUUCGGAUCGUAAAGCCCUUUCGACGGGGAAGAUGAUGACGGUACCCGUAGAAGAAGCCCCGGCUAACUUCGUG